UGCAGUCGUACGCACGCGCUUCGGCGCGUGAGUGGCGCACGGCUGAGUAACACGUGGGAACCCGCCCUCCGGUGGGGGAUAACGCGACGAAAGUCGCGCUAAUCCCGCAUACGUCCGCAAGGGGAAAGCGCUUCGGCGCGCCGGAGGAGGGGCCUGCGGCCCAUCAGGUGGUUGGUGGGGUAACGGCCUACCAAGCCGAUGACGGGUAGCUGGUCUGGGAGGAUGACCAGCCAGACUGGGACUGAGACACGGCCCAGACUCCUACGGGAGGCAGCAGCAAGGAAUUUUCGGCAAUGGGCGCAAGCCUGACCGAGCAACGCCGCGUGCGGGAUGACGGCCUUCGGGUUGUAAACCGCUUUUCGGGGGGACGACUACGACGGUACCCCCGGAAGAAGCCCCGGCUAACUCUGUGCCACGCAGCCGCGGUAAGACAGAGGGGGCGAGCGUUGUCCGGAGUUACUGGGCGUAAAGCGCGCGCAGGCGGUGGUCUCAGUGUCGUGUGAAAGCCCCCGGCUCAACCGGGGGAGGUCAUGGCAAACUA
rnacentral:rRNA from 1 species